CUGUUAUGAAUUUUUUUGCUUUAAACAUAUUUGUUGUUAUUGCUUUGAAACAACCGCGAGUUGUUGUUGCUGUUUCUGUAUUUUUUACUUGCAGCACCUUCAAUUUUUCAGUGGCUUACCUCGACGAGAAGAACUUACCGUAUAACUCGGUUUCUUUCACAAACAGAGAGAAACAUGUUCAUAGCAACAACAAUAUUGAGAUUAAGAGUGAAAUUGACUUACCUACGGCGAGGAGAGUUUCGCCGGAUUAUCGUUGAGGCUUUUUGAUGAAGGUGAUGCCACAACACCUCUUUGGAUAUUAGGGAGACUUGAAGAUGGACUUCAAGUUGGAACUCUCCACUAAGGUAUGAACUACUUCUUCACCCCUUUUCAAACUAUGGAACUUUGUAGCUAGGAAUUCUCACUUUUCAAGUGGUUUACCAAGAAACUUGAAAACUUAUGAGAGAAGAGGGAGAAGUGAGAAAGCUAGUAGUAUAGUAGCUUUGGUGUGAUUUGCAAUGAAGUGAGGCCUUCUAUUUAUAGGAAAAGUUAAGGAUGUGUUUGGCAAUUGGUAAACUUGAUUGGCAAGUUUCAAUCAUUGCAAGAUAAGAAAAAGAAUAAGAAUAUUCUUUAUGAGAUUUUUCUCUUGCAAGUGGACAUGAAAUAUCUUUGAUUCCUUUUUGAAUUAUUUCAUUUUUUUUUUGAAUUAUUUCCUUUGUUGGAUUUUUGCUAAUCUCACCCCUUUUUGUCUUGAAUUAUUCUUUUGCUAAAUUCACCCCUCUUAUGUUUCUUUUUCAUGUUGCAUGAGGACUUUGAAGAAAGCAUGAAGAAGCUUGAACUUGAAGGAUGAAGACUUUGAAGAUUGAAGAAUUCAAGAAAGCAUUGCAUUUUCUUUUAUUCUUUGUAAUCCAAAUUUAUUCCACUUUAGAAUUGUAUGAACUUGUAUUCUUGAAAGUGAAUAGAAUUUGAAAGUUGUAAUAUCUUUGAACCUUGAAUUAGACUUGAAAUGUUGUAAUCUUGAAUUUUGGACAAAGUCUCUAUUGUAAUUCAUUUGAAACUUGGAACUUUGUAAAGAAUGAACUUCAUUUUUGAAUGUUUGAAUUUCCUUUAAAAA